rnacentral:rRNA from 1 species
GAUGAACGCUGGCGGCGUGCCUAAUACAUGCAAGUCGAGCGAACAGACGAGGAGCUUGCUCCUCUGACGUUAGCGGCGGACGGGUGAGUAACACGUGGAUAACCUACCUAUAAGACUGGGAUAACUUCGGGAAACCGGAGCUAAUACCGGAUAAUAUAUUGAACCGCAUGGUUCACUAGUGAAAGACGGUUUUGCUGUCACUUAUAGAUGGAUCCGCGCCGCAUUAGCUAGUUGGUAAGGUAACGGCUUACCAAGGCAACGAUGCGUAGCCGACCUGAGAGGGUGAUCGACCACACUGGAACUGAGACACGGUCCAGACUCCUACGGGAGGCAGCAGUAGGGAAUCUUCCGCAAUGGACGAGAGCUUGACGGAGCAACGCCGCGGGAGUGAUGAAGGUCUUCGGAUCGUAAAACGCUGUUAUUAGUGAAGAACAAAUGUGUAAGUAACUAUGCACGUCUUGACGGUACCUAAUCAGAAAGCCACGGCUAACUACGUG